UGAGGAAUAUUGGACAAUGGAGGCAACUCUGAUCCAGCCAUGCCGCGUGCAGGAAGACUGCCCUAUGGGUUGUAAACUGCUUUUAUACAGGAAGAAACCUACUUACGUGUAAGUAGCUGACGGUACUGUAAGAAUAAGGAUCGGCUAACUCCGUGCCAGCAGCCGCGGUAAUACGGAGGAUCCAAGCGUUAUCCGGAAUCAUUGGGUUUAAAGGGUCCGUAGGUGGUUUAUUAAGUCAGAGGUGAAAUCCCAUAGCUUAACUAUGGAACUGCCUUUGAUACUGAUAGACUUGAGUUAUUGUGAAGUGGUUAGAAUGUGUAGUGUAGCGGUGAAAUGCAUAGAUAUUACACAGAAUACCGAUUGCGAAGGCAGAUCACUAACAAUAUACUGACACUGAGGGACGAAAGCGUGGGUAGCGAACAGGAUUAGAUACCCUGGUAGUCCACGCCAGUAAACGAUGGUCACUAGCUGUUUGACUAACAUUGGUUAGUUGAGUGGCUAAGCGAAAGUGAUAAGUGACCCACCUGGGGAGUACGCUCGCAAGAGUG
rnacentral:rRNA from 1 species